UACGUAGGUGGCAAGCGUUGUCCGGAAUUACUGGGCGUAAAGCGCGUGUAGGCGGCUUGGCAAGUCGGGUGUGAAAGCCCUCAGCUCAACUGAGGAAGUGCGCCCGAAACUGCUGAGCUCGAGUGCCGGAGAGGAUGGCGGAAUUCCCCAAGUAGAGGUGAAAUUCGUAGAUAUGGGGGAGGAACACCGGUGGCGAAGGCGGCCAUCUGGACGGUGACUGACGCUGAGACGCGAAAGCGUGGGGAGCAAACAGG
rnacentral:rRNA from 1 species